CGGACGGGUGAGUAACGCGUGAGGAACCUGCCUCAGAGAGGGGGGAUAACACACCGAAAGGUGUGCUAAUACCGCAUAACAUAUGAGAGGGGCAUCCCUUUUAUAUCAAAGAUUUAUUGCUCUGAGAUGGCCUCGCGUCCAAUUAGCUAGUUGGUGAGGUAACGGCCCACCAAGGCGACGAUUGGUAGCCGGACUGAGAGGUUGAACGGCCACAUUGGGACUGAGACACGGCCCAGACUCCUACGGAAGGCAGCAG
rnacentral:rRNA from 1 species